rnacentral:snRNA from 1 species
AUCGCUUCUUGGCCUUUUGGCUAAGAUCAAGUGUAGUAUCUUUUCUUAUCAGUUUAAUAUCUAAUUUAGGGUGGUGAUCAGUGGUGCAGAGUCUAGUUGGAGGCCUGUAGCUAGUGGGGUCCCCCAGGGGUCAGUCCUCAGUCCAGUCCUGUUUAAUUUAUUCAUCAAUGGCCUGGAUGAAGGCAC